rnacentral:rRNA from 1 species
AACGGAGGGAGCAAGCGUUGUACGGAAUUACUGGGCGUAAAGCGCGUGUAGGCGGCUUGGUAAGUCGGGUGUGAAAUCCCGGGGCCCAGCCCCGGAACUGCAUUCGAAACUGCCUCGCUAGAGUCCCGGAGAGGAAGGCGGAAUUCCCGGUGUAGAGGUGAAAUUCGUAGAUAUCGGGAGGAACACCAGCGGCGAAGGCGGCCUUCUGGACGGUGACUGACGCUGAGACGCGAAAGCGUGGGGAGCAAACAGG